rnacentral:rRNA from 1 species
GACGAACGCUGGCGGCGUGCUUAACACAUGCAAGUCGAACGGAAAGGCCCCCUUGUGGGGUACUCGAGUGGCGAACGGGUGAGUAACACGUGAGUAACCUACCCUUGACUGUGGGAUAACUUCAGGAAACUGGGGCUAAUACCGGAUAGGAGCUCCUGCUGCAUGGUGGGGGUUGGAAAGUUUCGGCGGUUGGGGAUGGACUCGCGGCUUAUCAGCUUGUUGGUGGGGUAGUGGCUCACCAAGGCUUUGACGGGUAGCCGGCCUGAGAGGGUGACCGGCCACAUUGGGACUGAGAUACGGCCCAGACUCCUACGGGAGGCAGCAGUGGGGAAUAUUGCACAAUGGGCGGAAGCCUGAUGCAGCAACGCCGCGUGCGGGAUGACGGCCUUCGGGUUGUAAACCGCUUUCGCCUGUGACGAAGCGUGAGUGACGGUAAUGGGUAAAGAAGCACCGGCUAACUACGUG